rnacentral:rRNA from 1 species
UACGAAGGGGGCUAGCGUUGCUCGGAAUCACUGGGCGUAAAGCGCACGUAGGCGGCUUGUUAAGUCAGGGGUGAAAUCCUGGAGCUCAACUCCAGAACUGCCUUUGAUACUGGGGAUCUUGAGUCCGGGAGAGGUGAGUGGAACUGCGAGUGUAGAGGUGAAAUUCGUAGAUAUUCGGAGGAACACCAGUGGCGAAGGCGGCUCACUGGCUCGAUACUGACGCUGAGGUGCGAAAGCGUGGGGAGCAAACAGG